GGGCGCAAGCCUGAUGCAGCGACGCCGCGUGAGGGAUGGAGGCCUUCGGGUUGUAAACCCCUUUUGUUUGGGAGCAAGCCUUCGGGUGAGUGUACCUUUCGAAUAAGCGCCGGCUAACUACGUGCCAGCAGCCGCGGUAAUACGUAGGGCGCAAGCGUUAUCCGGAUUUAUUGGGCGUAAAGGGCUCGUAGGCGGCUCGUCGCGUCCGGUGUGAAAGUCCAUCGCUUAACGGUGGAUCUGCGCCGGGUACGGGCGGGCUGGAGUGCGGUAGGGGAGACUGGAAUUCCCGGUGUAACGGUGGAAUGUGUAGAUAUCGGGAAGAACACC
rnacentral:rRNA from 1 species